GCGCCCAUAGCUCAGUUGGUAGAGCGCCUCACUUUUAAUGAGGAUGUCGACGGUUCGAGUCCGUCUGGGCGUACCA
rnacentral:tRNA from 1 species